AAUUAUAUUACACAUCCUGAACAAGCCCAAUCCCGUCUGAUUGCAGAAGCUAAGCAGAGUCGGGCCUGGUUAGUACUUGGAUGGGAGACUACCUAGGGAGACCAGGUGCUAUAGGUG
rnacentral:rRNA from 1 species